AUACUUACCUGGCAGGGGAGAUACCAUGAACAAGAAAGGUGGAUCAUCUAUGUGGAGGGCUCCGUCAUUGCGCUGCGAACUGUCCUGACUACUGCGAAAUUCACCAAUGUGGAAUCUCGACUGCAUACAUUGGAGCAAGUGGAGGACUGCGUUCGCGUCUACUCUGA
ensembl:snRNA U1 U1 spliceosomal RNA